GACGAACGCUGGCGGCGUGCUUAACACAUGCAAGUCGAACGGAAAGGCCCUGCUUUUGUGGGGUGCUCGAGUGGCGAACGGGUGAGUAACACGUGAGUAACCUGCCCUUGACUUUGGGAUAACUUCAGGAAACUGGGGCUAAUACCGGAUAGGAGCUCCUGCUGCAUGGUGGGGGUUGGAAAGUUUCGGCGGUUGGGGAUGGACUCGCGGCUUAUCAGCUUGUUGGUGGGGUAGUGGCUUACCAAGGCUUUGACGGGUAGCCGGCCUGAGAGGGUGACCGGCCACAGUGGGAUUGUGAGACUGGCCAGACUCCUACGGGAGGCAUCAGUGGUGAAUAUUGCACAAUGGGCGGAAGCCAGUUGCUGCAACGCCGUGUGCGGGAUGACGGACUUCGGGUUGUGAACCGCUUUCGCCUGUGACGAAGCGGGAGUGAAGGUAAUGGGUAGAGAAGCACCGGCUAACUACGUG
rnacentral:rRNA from 1 species